GGAAACAAUUAUGGUUCAGUGGUAGAGCAUAUGGUUUGUAUACAGGUCCUGGGUUCAAUUCCUGGCAUUUCCA
rnacentral:tRNA from 1 species